rnacentral:lncRNA from 1 species
AUAAAGAAAAUAAAAAAUAAAAUACAUGUUUAAUACAAUAUAAUAUUUAAUGUGAUGGGUGGGCUGUUUGCAGGACAAAUUCUCUUAAAUUUGGUUGUCAUUGAAGAUAUCAUUACUCACAAUUCUUUUUCAAUCACUAAACAAGAUCAAUAUUUUGUCUUUAAAACAGCUACAACAGAAAGUUUCUGGAUAUAUGUAUUUAUAAUAUUUUUGCUGAUUCAUUUUUUUGACACCAAUUUUAAUUUUUAUUUGCUUGUCUCAAAAAUGACGUUUUUUUUUUAAAUUCUUGCAUGUCCCCUUUCGAUAGACUAGUGUGCUCCCCUAGUGAAAUGCGUCCCACAAUUUGGAAAAUGCUGAUCUAAGGCAUUAUUUCCCAAAUUGUCCAAGUGCAACUUCCAAGAGAAUGCACUCUUUCAGAGGGAUGUGAAAUAAUGGAAAAAAUUAGUCAAUGCUUUUGAAAACAACCAUUGCUAGAUAUAUGGAAUCUAUGUGGUCUAUCAUAGGUUUCAUAUAUUAUAAUCAUAUUUGCAUUAGUUAAUUGUGCUUUUUUGAUAAGAAAAGUGCAAUGGGCACUGAUAAAGUUUGGAAACUGCUCACCUCUUCUUCCGUGGAAUAGGAUGGGAUGAAAGAACAAUAAUUGCCAUCAUAUUCUUUUCUUUUAAAGCGUCAAUUAUGUGCUUAUAUAAAAUGAUCAUAGGAUUUGAUAUGCAAAUACUAAAACUGAGAUGAAAAGGCAUUAUUGUAUUUUCCUUGUCAGUCUAUUUUGUACUAAUGUAAAACAAAACAUAAUAAAAAAAGAACAUAUCAUUGGUACUGUCAGAAGCAAGAAAGUAAAAUGAGCAGUUUUUAAUGAUGAUUAAAAU